rnacentral:rRNA from 1 species
AGGGAUCAUUACCGAGUUCGUGCCCCCCUCGCGGGGGUAGAUCUCCCACCCUUUGUGUAUCUGUGUUCGUGUUGCUUUGGCAGGCCGUGGGCCCUGUUCACCACCGGCUCCCGGGCUGGUGUGCGCCUGCCAGAGGACCUUUUCCAAUUCUGUUUGUCAGUGUCGUCUGAGUGAACCAAAAAAAACAAUCGUUAAAACUUUCAACAACGGAUCUCUUGGUUCUGGCAUCGAUGAAGAACGCAGCGAAAUGCGAUAAGUAAUGUGAAUUGCAGAAUUCAGUGAAUCAUCGAAUCUUUGAACGCACAUUGCGCCCCUUGGUAUUCCGGGGGGCAUGCCUGUUCGAGCGUCAUUUCAACCCCUCAAGCCUGAAGCUUGGUGUUGGGCCGUGCCACGGCGCGCUUUGCGUGCGGGCAGGCCCUAAAACGAGUGGCGGUGCCCGCUGUGGCUCCAAGCGUAGUAGAUCUCUCUCGCUCCGGAGACCCGGUGGGCUGCCUGCCAGAUAAGCCUUUUUUUAAAGUUCUAGUUUGACCUCGGAUCAGGUAGGGAUACCCGCUGAACUUAA